rnacentral:lncRNA from 1 species
CGACGACUCAAACGACGGUCGCAGACGCUUCGCUGAGACUGAGCCGAGAAGAGCCGAAUCAUCGGAAGGGAAGCUGCUCCCACCUCAGCCAAUCAGCGCCUGCCCUGCGGACUCUCGCCCGCCUCUCCGCGCCUCUCCCCAGCAACCCGCAGAUCACAGCCAGUCAGGAAAUUCGCUUGCGGCCUGGCUCCCGCCUCAGUGAUGCGACACGCCUAGUAACGCCACGUCAAUUGGCCGCAACGCUACGCUUCCUCGACGGAUUGGAAUUCUCAGCCAAUCAACGAAAGGAAUAGGGCGAGAUCGACUAGUGAAAGGAGACCCUUUAAUCCCUUAGAGGCGGACUCUCCCACUUGGCUCCAGUUCAUUGGCUCCGGAGUUUAUCCUCCUGGAAGAACGUGGCACAGUAGACUGAACCCUUGUAUUAGUCUAGUCCUAUUGUGGUAACCCAUACACCCCUCUUCUCCCAAAACCUGGAGAUCUUCUAAGACGCCAUCACCACCCUGACAUUUCUUGCUCCUUCUCAACGCUGCCUCCAACCACCCCUACUCUGAACUUUCUGACUAGCACCCCACUCCUACCCCAUUGUCACUGCACCCUCUGGUAACCCCAAUCCCACAGCCUUUGCAGUUUCUCAACGCUUGUGCCUUUCUUCCUCCCGUCAUUAAUAUUAAUACCUUAUAAUAAGGCACUCAAAUCCAGAGAAGUCAAAGGGCAACCAUAGAACACACAGCCAAUUCAGUAGAACCCAAAUUAGCAAGAAAACUGCACAUGCUGGGACUUGAAAAUCCUUGGGUCCCAAAUAACAGGGGUCCCUGUUAGUAGUCAACAGGCAGCUGUUGGUGAUAUGCUGACUCAAUUCACCUUUCACCCUGUACCCACACAGACCCAUUUGACUAAGACGAGUCGAAUUUCUAGAAUUUGGAAUUAGGGAGUGAAGAGUCACUCUGAGAGAAAUCUGCCUGUCUCUAAGUAACAGGUACCUGCCCUUGUCCUGAGAGGCCUAUCUAGACCACCCUUCAGACCCAACUCCACUCAUUGUCACUGUCCUGGGCUUUGGGGCUCUGCAUUCAGGCAAUGUGAAGGACUAAAGCCACUGCCUCCAAAGUAAGGAUUCCUGUAGCCCUUUCCUCAUACCCAGACUUCAAGUUCAUAAGGUAGACGAUGUCAGGAAAGGGCAUCAUAGACAACUAGCACUGAACUAGACGGUCACAAGCCUUCCCACGCAAGUAUAUGUAGUAGGCAGACGAGAUAAAUAUGAAAUUUUACUCGACAACAGAAAAGGAGAAACAGGAAAAAAGGUGCCUCGAGCAAAGUCAAUGACUUGGUGGUGGCAGAGAUUGUUUCCUCCAAAACCAGAAUGGUAGUAACUAGGGCAAAUUUCACAGGCCUACCACCAACCUCACCAGUCCAGGAAUUAUAUAGGAAUGGUCACAUUCCUAAUGAUGGUGAAGCAGAAAGCCCUCCCCACAGAGAGACAGCCCACUGGGGACCCAGCUCAAGCUCUUCAAAACGUGUCAGCUACAGGUCACAAGACUUUGGCAGAGAUGUCCGAAAUUCUUCAAGGAAGGCGUCACGAUCAGAGGGACGGAUCCAGCUCAAAUAGCUUUCUAGGUCCAAGGACUCUAGGACACCAACUGCCCCUCAGCCCCAAGCCAGCAGGCCUGAGCCUCACCACAGAGCAUCUUCAUGGGACCCCUUAGUUUGGGCCUCCAGCCUCCACCAGAGUGCAGUGGCCUCAUCCCUCCGAUCUAGCCUCUUCAGAGUCUGAAGCAGGUGAAAGUAAGUGUCUC